UACAGAGGUCCCGAGCGUUGUUCGGAUUUAUUGGGCGUAAAGGGUGCGUAGGUGGCAAAGUAAGUUGGAUGUGAAAAUCCUGGGGGCUUAACCUCAGAAUUGCAUUCAAUACUGCUUAGCUAGAGAGCUGUAGAGGAGACUGGAAUUUACGGUGUAGCAGUGAAAUGCGUAGAUAUCGUAAGGAACGCCAGUGGCGAAAAGCGAGUCUCUGGGCAGCAUCUGACACUGAGGCACGAAAGGCCCAGGGGGAGCAAAACGGGG
rnacentral:rRNA from 1 species